ACAUAGCAGAGGAGGGGUUCAGCACUAGACCAGGACAGACAUAACAGAGGGGUUCAGCUCUAGACCAGGACAGACAUAACAGAGGGGUUCAGCACUGGACCAGGACAGACAUAACAGAGGGGUUCAGCACUGGACCAGGACAGACAUAAC
rnacentral:lncRNA from 1 species